UACGAAGGGUGCAAGCGUUAAUCGGAAUUACUGGGCGUAAAGGGUGCGUAGGCGGUUCGUUAAGUCUGUUGUGAAAUCCCCGGGCUCAACCUGGGAAUGGCAAUGGAUACUGGCGAGCUAGAGUGUGAUAGAGGAUGGUGGAAUUCCCGGUGUAGCGGUGAAAUGCGUAGAGAUCGGGAGGAACAUCAGUGGCGAAGGCGGCCAUCUGGAUCAACACUGACGCUGAGACGCGAAAGCGUGGGGAGCAAACAGG
rnacentral:rRNA from 1 species